AUGCUUUCCUGCAAGGUGAACUAGAAGAUGAAGUAUACAUGCAUCCACCUCCUGGUCUUGAGCAUCUAGUAAAGCCAGGGAAUGUUUUAAGAUUGAAGAAGGCAAUAUAUGGGCUAAAACAGUCACCUAGAGCUUGGUACAGGAAGUUGAGUACCACUCUCAAUGGGAGAGGCUUUAGUGUAACACCCCCGAACCAUUUAAGACAUCGGUCAGUCAGUCGAGCAACAAUCAAACAAGAACAUGCCCGAACGACCUUCCUCUGCUAAGUCUGGAAGUGUCACAACGGGUUUAGAAUAGACUUUCCAAGUCACAAAACAUAAUUCUGUAACCCAGAAUAUCCAUUCAAAACUCGUUUCCUCUAAUCUUCGGCCUGAGGCUUUGCAACCCGUACCGAGUCAUAGAGUUGUGUUAGGUUGGACUAACCUAAUAUCAGAUUCAACACGUCACGAAUAUUAAACAUACUUUAUUCCAUAUAUAUAUAAAACAUGAAGUUCACGAGCCCAAAAUAUUAUACAUAUGGUCCAUGGACGCAGUCGAAAGUAAAACAUACAUUCAUAUAUCUUGAAAACGAGUCUUUAGCAAAAGAUGUCCAAUCUACACCAGCUCCUACAGUUCCGUGAGUGCUACGGUCUUUUCUACUGGUCACCUGCAAAAGGAUGUGAGGAGUGAGUGAACUAGUUUCACUCAGUGAGCCAGGGUUCCCUAUCUAGCAUAUAUAACUACCCGUCAUUUUAAACCCAACCCCAAACACAAGCAAGACGGGUAGUUCAACAAUCAGUAUUCAAGAUCAUAAAGCAAUACCGAUUUAAGCAAUAAAGCUUUAAACCAUAUUUAAUCAAAACACUCUUUAUGAGUGUCAUUCAAUAAACCAUAUACAUGUACUCCUAGGGCCCAACAGAAUCAUUCUUCCUCCACAUAAGGGACACCGGCAAUCCCUUCACUAUUACACCACACAGGCGUAGGCGCUCGGGAAUCGCCCGGUCACGGUCCUCAAUCGGAAUCACCGUGCCCCGGUCCUCUAUCGGACUCGCCGGGGGCUGUCACAUCCACGUGUGACACCCGGCCUCGGUGAUCAAGCCAAGUUAAACCGAGCCCACCACUUUCCGGACCACGACCGGCUUAGUGGUACCAUUUGAGAAAGCAAUGACCUGCAACUACUACUAGAACCACCACGAGGUUCUCACACAACAAUACCAACACGAGGUACCCACUAUAACAACAUAUAAUAAUUACACAAUCGCAAUAAUCCGGGUGCUUAGACUAGUCUUGCUAUCCACUUAGCCUAGACAUCGUCUCAAGCCUCGGAUCCACAAACUGACACCUAGCCCGGUCCGGCUAUCCUAGCUCGGAAACCGUCUCCGAUGUCAGGAGCCUGCAUUAAAAAUUUGUUAACAAACAAUUAACCGUGACUCACAGUGAUUAACCGAUGUGGCUUGACUUUCUGAUUCCGGAAGCUGACCAAACCCUUUUUAUUCUUCCAAAUCUUCGUCUUGAUUACGUACCGUUAAUCUCGCAAUCUUGUAACACGUCUUGCCUCUCUAAGCAGCUCCUUAAAUAUAUUAUUUAUUUUCCUUCUUUUUUUUUUCUAUUUCUUUUCUCUCUUUCUUUUAUUUCUCUUCUCUCCUGUUCUUUUUCUCCUUCUCUCUCUUGGUCGUUGAUGUUCUGAUCGUGAGAAAAUGGAGGGACUUUGCUUCAUUUAUAUAGUCAACCAAGAUGUAUGAGGUGGUGACAAGUAUCACACUCUUCUUCCCAUCUUUGACCACGUUUUCAAAGCAAUGACUAAGUCAUUUGCUUCCUAGUUGGCCACGUGAUACUCAUAAGCAUGAGCAAGCAUAUUAAUUUAUUUUCUUCCUUUCUUAUAUAGACACCUGAUGAUGACAAAGCAAACCUGUAUGAUUCAUUCUCCUUUCCUUCCCAUCAAACACGUUGAUUGCAACCAAGCCAUAAGAAAUAUAAAAUAUUUCUUUAUCUCCUCUUUUCUUCUCAGCUUGAUUAAUUAACCCAAACUUAGUAAUCAAAACACCAUUCUCAUCGAUCACUUUUCUCCUUUUAAAAGAUAUAGCUUAAUUAUCCAAUUAAGCUACUAACUUACUUUCAAUGCAUCGAUCACUUUUUGUCUUUAGCUUUGUAUUUUUCUUUCCAGAAAAAUUUAUUUCUGAGAAUUUAUUAUGUUGAAUUAUUUAUUUAAAAAUAAUUCUUUCUCAGAAAGACGGGAUAUUACAUCCUCCUCCCCUUAUUAGAAUUCGUCCCCGAAUUCUCUAGGAUGAUCCCUUUUCUUCCAUCACUACGUCUUCAUGGAAGAAUUCUGGAUGCGAUGCUUUGAAUCUUGACUCAUCCUCCCAGGUCACAAUUACAUGGUUUCGCUUACCCCAGAAGACUUGGAUUUGAGGAAUCUCUUGGUUCUUUAGUUUUCGUAUUCGACGUUCACCUAUUCGGAUCGGUCCCUGUGGAUAAGUGAGAUUUGUUUGCAAGUUUUCAAUUUGCUCCGUCUCAAUAGCUUUGGGAUCAUGAACAUGCUUCCGUAGCAUUGAUACGUGAAACACCGGAUGUAUCCGCAUUUCUUCGGGCAGGUUGAGACGGUAAGCAACAUCUCCGAUUCGUUCUUCAAUCUGGUAAGGCCCAAUGAAUCUUACCGCAAGUUUCCCGACUUUCCCGAAUCGAUCUUUUCCUUUCUGAGCUGACACUUUCAGAUAAACCCAAUCACCAAUACUGAACACCACUUCUCGCCUUGAUUGAUCGGCGUAUUUCUUUUGUCUAUCCUGCGCUUUUUUCAUAUUGGUUUGAAUGAUCUCCAACUUUUUCAUCGUCUCUUCUACAAUUUCGGGUCCAAACUCUCUUCUUUCUCCAACUUCGGUCCAACAUAAAGGUGUUUUGCAUGGCCUCCCAUAAAGCGCCUCAUAUGGUGCCAUACCUAUGCUAGAAUGAAAGCUGUUGUUGUAGGAGAACUCGAUUAAUGGUAAAUGCUUUUCCCAGCUUCCCGCCCAAUCCAAUAUACACAUCCGCAUCAUAUCCUCUAUGGUUCGAAUGGUUCUUUCGGUUUGGCCGUCCGUCUCGGGAUGAUACGCGGUGCUAAUAAACAACUUAGUUCCCACUGCUUUUUGUAACGCCUUCCAAAAAUUUGAGGUGAAUCUAGGAUCUCGAUCAGAGACUAUAUCUGUUGGCACACCAUGCAACUUCACAAUCUGAUCCACGUACAUCUCUGUCAAUACUUCUACCUUAUCGGUUUCCUUCAUAGGUAACAAGUGCGCCACUUUUGUCAAUCUGUCGACAAUCACCCAUAUUGCAUUAUUUGAUCUUCCUCUAGCCGGCGGUAACCCAGUGAUGAAGUCCAUGGAUAUGGAAUCCCAUUUCCACUGAGGUACUGGUAAGCUUUGUAAUAAUCCUCCUGGAAUCUGAUGCUCGACUUUGACUUGUUGACAAGUUUGGCAUUGAGCCACCCAUCGCGCCACUGACUUCUUCAUUCCUGGCCAAUGAUAAUACUUUCGGAUAUCUCGAUACAUUUUCGUACUCCCGGGAUGGAUACUGAGUAACGAGUGAUGCGCCGACUUCAAAAUUUCAUCUCGUAGCCCUUCUCCCUGUGGUACUGAUAUCCUCCCAUUAAGUAAAAGUGUACCAUCUGCCGCCACAUGAUAACCACUUGGGUUUGUACCUUCAGGAUUCUUGACUUCCUCGAUGAUUAUCUUUAGCUUUUCAUCACAUUCUUGCUCUUUUCUGAUCCGUGCGAGUAAACCUGCUUGGUCUACGGCACGCGUGCCUAAGGACUCACUUGGUUCUCCCUCAAUUGCCUGUAACGUCAUCAACUUGAGUUCAUUUGAUAACGCUUCCACUUCCUUUCCAACAUCAGACGCCAACUUUCUACGACUUAGUGCAUCUGCGACAACAUUAGCUUUGCCUGGAUGAUAUUGAAUCUUCAAGUCGUAAUCCGCCACAAACUCCAUCCAUCGCCUUUGUCGGAGGUUUAGAUCAGGCUGUGUGAACAAGUACUUGAGACUCUUAUGAUCUGUGAAUACUUCCACGACUUCUCCAUAUAAGUAGGAUCUCCAAAUCCUUAACGCAAACACCACUGCCGCCAUUUCUAAAUCGUGUGUUGGGUAGUUCUCUUCAUGUUUCCUGAGUUGCCUUGAUGCAUAAGCAAUUACUUUGCCUUCCUGCAUCAACACACAACCCAACCCAACCCUAGAAGCAUCUGCGUACACAGUGUAAGGUUUACCUUGUUCAGGUAAUGCCAAUACUGGUGUUGUGGUCAAAGCUUUCUUCAGUCUCUGAAAUGCUUCCACUGUUUCUUUUCCCCAGAUGAACGGAACUCCUUUUCCAGUCAACUUCGUUAGGGGCUUAGCGAUUGAGGAAAAGUCCUUGACGAACUUUCGAUAAUACCCGGCUAACCCGAGGAAACUUCUUACCUCGGUUACCGUUGAUGGCCUUUGCCAUUCCUCGAUGGCUUUCACCUUUUCCGAAUCUACAGAAACUCCUUCUCCGGACACUCGGUGCCCUAAGAAUCCGAUCUCUCUUUUCCAAAAAGAACACUUACUGAACUUUGCAUACAACCUCUGGUUUCUUAACCGUUCCAACACUAGCUUCAAGUGUGCUUUGUGCUCUACCUCUGUCUUGGAAUAUAUUAAAAUAUCAUCGAUGAAGAUUAUCACGAACUUGUCGAGAUAAUCGUGGAAGACUUCAUUCAUCAAUCUCAUGAAGGCCGCCGGUGCGUUAGUAAGUCCAAAUGGCAUUACGACAAACUCGUAUUGUCCAUAACGAGUUCUAAACGCAGUCUUCAUGAAAUCACCUUCUGAAAUUGGAAUCUGAUGAUAGCCCGACGCCAAGUCGAUCUUUGAAAACCAACUUGCUCCCCUUAACUGAUCCAACAAUUCGUCUAUCCUCGGAAGGGGAUACUUAUCUUUGAUGGUGAUAUUGUUGAUUCCUCGAUAAUCAAUGCAAAGCCGCAUGCUACCAUCUUUCUUCUUGACAAAUAAGACCGGAGCUCCCCAUGGUGAAGAGCUAGGUCUUAUGAAACCUUUGUCCAUUAAAUCUUCAAGUUGUGUCUUCAACUCUGCUAACUCUGCAGGUGCCAUGCGGUAAGGAGCCUUUGCUAUCGGCUUAGCUCCAGGUUCCAAGUUAAUUGUGAAAGGGUUACUCCGAGGUGGAGGUAACUCUUUUAACGCUGCAAACACAUCCUCAAACUCUUGUACUACCGCAAUAUCCGUAAUUUUAACUUCAUUGCUAACGGGUCCUUCACUAGCAGUUACUGUUACCAGAUACGCUUCUCCAUCCUUAAGCAAAUCUUCCACUCUCAAGGCAGCUACUAAAGACACAGAUUUGCUUGGACUGAUCCCGUAGAAUACUAUUUGCCGUUGCCCGUUCUCUUUGAACAAAAUACGACCUUUUUCACAAUCUAAUUGAGCCCGAUAGCCUGAUAACCAAUCCAUGCCCAGAAUAACCUCAUAUCCCUUUAAGGGCACCACCAACAAAUCUGCCACAAACAUCUUCUCGCAAAUGACUAACGGAACUCUUCUGAGGCACUCUUUUGCUUGUAGGGUUUGGUCUCCGGGAGUUAUCACAGCCACAUGCAUCCUGUCAAUCACAAAUGAUCUCACAAACUCGGCAGCUACCUCAGGGGUCACAAAGCUAUGUGUUGCCCCCGAGUCGAACAAUACAUGUGUGGGACGCCCCGCAACAUGUAAAGUUCCUGCCACAACAUCAAUAUGUAUCAACAACAUAAAAAUUAUCCAACAGAAAUUAAUCAAUCCAUCACAAGCAAUCACUCAACACAAAAUCAAUCUAGUAAAGUUAAAGAACCCAAAUACCUGUGAUGGGACCCUUAGAUGGGCCUGGAAGUUUAGUAUCCUCUAGUUCUAAAGCGUAAACUCUACCUCCUAUAGCUUGCCUUUUUGGCGCUGGUGCGAUUGCAGGUGGAGCCGGGGGAGGAUGGACACUGAUUGGCGUAGCCGGGAUAGGACGAUUGACACUGUACUGUGUAGAGAUGUGUCCUUUCUUUCCACACGUGUAGCAUGUAGGAUUGUAGGAGUUUGACUGAAAGGAUCCAGGUUUCUUUCCGAAGCAUUCACUCGACUUAUGGCCUAUCUUGCCACAGUUAAAGCAUUUUCCUGUGAAUAGAGAUCGUCGAGUUGGCCUUCCUGAUUCCUUUUCCUUAUCUUUACCCUUAAAUGAUCUUUGAUUUCCACCAUACUUUCCUUGUUCAUGCUGCUUGGACUUUUUACUUGCCGCCUUCUCAGCUUCUAAUCCGAUCUCUACAUUCACAGCUUUUUCCACUAGGUCGGUGAGACUCUCGUAGUUCCCGACUGCCAGUCUAUUUUCUAACUCUGGUUUUAAACCAAACAUAAAGUUGGAUAUCAUGGUUUCUUCAUCAUCUUGUCCCUGCAGCACAUGUCGUCGCAGUCGCAUGAACUCCGAUUCAUAUUCUCUAACUGUCUUGUCUCCUUGUGCUAGGUUAGCAAACUGACGUUGAAGCCUUCGCUUGGACUCCGGGGUGAAAUACUUGCGUUCAAAUUCCUUUUUGAAUGCCGCCCAAGUGGUGACCAGAUGUCCUACUUGGCGAUUCCUGUUUUCCCACCAUUCUGCCGCAUCUUUUUCUAAGUAAUACACCGCCAUCUUUUUCUUAGACUCUUCAGAACACGUCAGGGUCUCAAAGUUUUUCUCCAUAGUUCGAAGCCACUGGUCAGCUUCAAAUGGGUCUGUCCCUCCUUCAAAAUGUGGUGUCUUCAUGUUUUUCAUGGCAGUUAUCAAUGGUAACAUCGGUGUAGCCACUGUAGGUUGUGGUGGUACGAGUGGCUGAGGUUGCACCUGAGGUUGUUGCAGUGACCUCGCUAUCACGUCAUGAAGCAUCUUCAGAGUAUGCUCCAUUCCUAUUCCUUGUUGUGGUUGAUCAUGAACUUCUUGUUCAAUCGGGUUGCUCCGUCUUAUUGGUCUUGGUCCUUGGACACUUGACUCACUAUCAUCUGUUUCUGGUCUUUCCCUUACACUACGGUUCGGUGGAAAGUGUUCUUCUUGUGGCCUUGACUGGUCGUGCCCAAACAGAUUGUCAUUUUCCACUAUGUUAUCUUCGCUGAACUCCUGGUUGGUGUGUGCUAGUGUUUGCACUCUUACGUCGGAUUCAUAUCCCAGCCCUCGUCUUCUUGAGAUUCUUCCUGUACCCAGCAUCCAAUCCUGUCCCCCUUCACUCCUUCCCCUUCUUGCCAUCUGCAAUCCAUAAACAGGGAAUUUCCUAUUUAGAAUAAUAAUUAGAACGGAACUCUGCUGGUUUCCUAAUACAUCUUUUGCGACACAUUUGACUCGAUAAAACAUGAAAAAUGCGUGAUUGACCGCAUGAUCUAAACCAUGCUCUGAUACCACCUCUGUAACACCCCCGAACCAUUUAAGACAUCGGUCAGUCAGUCGAGCAACAAUCAAACAAGAACAUGCCCGAACGACCUUCCUCUGCUAAGUCUGGAAGUGUCACAACGGGUUUAGAAUAGACUUUCCAAGUCACAAAACAUAAUUCUGUAACCCAGAAUAUCCAUUCAAAACUCGUUUCCUCUAAUCUUCGGCCUGAGGCUUUGCAACCCGUACCGAGUCAUAGAGUUGUGUUAGGUUGGACUAACCUAAUAUCAGAUUCAACACGUCACGAAUAUUAAACAUACUUUAUUCCAUAUAUAUAUAAAACAUGAAGUUCACGAGCCCAAAAUAUUAUACAUAUGGUCCAUGGACGCAGUCGAAAGUAAAACAUACAUUCAUAUAUCUUGAAAACGAGUCUUUAGCAAAAGAUGUCCAAUCUACACCAGCUCCUACAGUUCCAUGAGUGCUACGGUCUUUUCUACUGGUCACCUGCAAAAGGAUGUGAGGAGUGAGUGAACUAGUUUCACUCAGUGAGCCAGGGUUCCCUAUCUAGCAUAUAUAACUACCCGUCAUUUUAAACCCAACCCCAAACACAAGCAAGACGGGUAGUUCAACAAUCAGUAUUCAAGAUCAUAAAGCAAUACCGAUUUAAGCAAUAAAGCUUUAAACCAUAUUUAAUCAAAACACUCUUUAUGAGUGUCAUUCAAUAAACCAUAUACAUGUACUCCUAGGGCCCAACAGAAUCAUUCUUCCUCCACAUAAGGGACACCGGCAAUCCCUUCACUAUUACACCACACAGGCGUAGGCGCUCGGGAAUCGCCCGGUCACGGUCCUCAAUCGGAAUCACCGUGCCCCGGUCCUCUAUCGGACUCGCCGGGGGCUGUCACAUCCACGUGUGACACCCGGCCUCGGUGAUCAAGCCAAGUUAAACCGAGCCCACCACUUUCCGGACCACGACCGGCUUAGUGGUACCAUUUGAGAAAGCAAUGACCUGCAACUACUACUAGAACCACCACGAGGUUCUCACACAACAAUACCAACACGAGGUACCCACUAUAACAACAUAUAAUAAUUACACAAUCGCAAUAAUCCGGGUGCUUAGACUAGUCUUGCUAUCCACUUAGCCUAGACAUCGUCUCAAGCCUCGGAUCCACAAACUGACACCUAGCCCGGUCCGGCUAUCCUAGCUCGGAAACCGUCUCCGAUGUCAGGAGCCUGCAUUAAAAAUUUGUUAACAAACAAUUAACCGUGACUCACAGUGAUUAACCGAUGUGGCUUGACUUUCUGAUUCCGGAAGCUGACCAAACCCUUUUUAUUCUUCCAAAUCUUCGUCUUGAUUACGUACCGUUAAUCUCGCAAUCUUGUAACACGUCUUGCCUCUCUAAGCAGCUCCUUAAAUAUAUUAUUUAUUUUCCUUCUUUUUUUUUUUCUAUUUCUUUUCUCUCUUUCUUUUAUUUCUCUUCUCUCCUGUUCUUUUUCUCCUUCUCUCUCUUGGUCGUUGAUGUUCUGAUCGUGAGAAAAUGGAGGGACUUUGCUUCAUUUAUAUAGUCAACCAAGAUGUAUGAGGUGGUGACAAGUAUCACACUCUUCUUCCCAUCUUUGACCACGUUUUCAAAGCAAUGACUAAGUCAUUUGCUUCCUAGUUGGCCACGUGAUACUCAUAAGCAUGAGCAAGCAUAUUAAUUUAUUUUCUUCCUUUCUUAUAUAGACACCUGAUGAUGACAAAGCAAACCUGUAUGAUUCAUUCUCCUUUCCUUCCCAUCAAACACGUUGAUUGCAACCAAGCCAUAAGAAAUAUAAAAUAUUUCUUUAUCUCCUCUUUUCUUCUCAGCUUGAUUAAUUAACCCAAACUUAGUAAUCAAAACACCAUUCUCAUCGAUCACUUUUCUCCUUUUAAAAGAUAUAGCUUAAUUAUCCAAUUAAGCUACUAACUUACUUUCAAUGCAUCGAUCACUUUUUGUCUUUAGCUUUGUAUUUUUCUUUCCAGAAAAAUUUAUUUCUGAGAAUUUAUUAUGUUGAAUUAUUUAUUUAAAAAUAAUUCUUUCUCAGAAAGACGGGAUAUUACAUCUAGGAAGUCUGAACUGGAUCACACUCUCUUCACCUUGACAGGACCUUCAGGGAUCAUUGUGAUUCUAGUGUAUGUGGAUGAUUUGAUUAUCACAGGAAGUGAUAAGGCAGGGAUUCAGGCUACUAAGGAGUUUCUCAAAUCAGUGUUUGACAUCAAGGAUUUGGGAGAGAUGAAGUAUUUUCUGGGUAUUGAGAUAUGCAGAUCAAAGGAGGGCUUGUUUAUGUCUCAAAGGAAGUACACUCAGGAUCUGUUGAAGGGCGCUGGUAAGCUUGGAGGAAAGACAGCUAAGACACCUCUUGAGGAUGGGUAUAAGGUUUUGCUUGAGGGGGAGAUUGAAAACAAUCAGCCAUUUGAAGAUGCUAAGCUGUAUAGGAAGAUGGUUGGGAAGCUGAUCUACUUGACAAUCACCAGACCAGACAUAUGUUUUGCUGUGAAUCAAGUUAGCCAGCAUAUGCAAGCUCCAAAGAUGCACCAUUGGAACAUGGUAGACAGAAUCUUGAGGUAUUUGAAUGUCUCUAGCGGCCAAGGAGUCUGGAUGGGAUGCAAUAGGAGUACAGAAGUGGUUGGUUAUUGUGAUGCUGACUGGGCCGGAGAUAGAGUUGAUAGGAGAUCAACUACUGGGUAUUGUACCUUCAUUGGAGGGAACUUGGUUACAUGGAAGAGUAAGAAGCAGAAGGUUGUCUCAUGUUCUAGUGCUGAGGCUGAAUAUAGAGCCAUGUUGAAGCUGACUAAUGAGCUAGUGUGGAUCAAAGGGAUAUUGAAGCAUUUGAGGAUUGAGCAGACCACUCCUAUGACAAUGCAUUGUGACAAUCAGGCUGCUAUUCACAUUGCCUCUAAUUCUGUGUUUCAUGAGAGAACAAAGCACAUAGAAGUUGAUUGUCACAAGGUGAGGCAGAUGAUUGUCCUAGGAGUAAUACUGCCAUGCUACACGAGGAGUGAGGAUCAACUGGCUGAUGUGUUUACUAAGGCAGCGAGGCAGAAGACAAUAGAGUCCAUACUAUCAAGGCUUGGACUCAUUGAUCUUACUCCCAGGAGCUGAUCCCCUUAACCAUGGAGUCUCUACUCUUUUUCCCUCAUCAAGGUUUUAUCCCAAUGGGUUUUCCUUGGUGAGGUUUAUAACGAGGGAGAUCUUCAUGGUUUCCAAGCUAGACAAGUUCAGUUAGUCUAGCUUGAGGAGGAGUGUUGAGAUGAAGAUCAAGAAGUGGAGAGAUGAAGCUUUGGGGUUCAGUAGAGUGAUGAGGUAGAAACAGUAACUUCAGAGAGUUACCAUGUCUGGAUGGAAGUGACUUGGGAAGUUAC
rnacentral:lncRNA from 1 species